rnacentral:rRNA from 1 species
AUGGGACAAAAAAUAAAUCCACUCGGUUUCAGACUUGGUACAACCCAAAAACACCAUUCCUUUUGGUUCGCACAACCAAAAAAUUAUUCUGAAGAAAUCCAAAAAGAAAUCGAUACGAUCCACGUCAUAAUCCAUAUUGGAUUCCCAAAUUUAUUAAAGAAAAAAGGAGCAAUCGAAGAAUUAGAGAAAGAUCUACAAAAGGAAAUUAACCUGUAA